CUCAGAGAAAUUUGAGCUAAUACCGAAUAAUGUCUUCGGACCAAAGAUUUAUCGCCUUUAGAUGGGCCCGCGUUAGAUUAGAUAGUUGGUGGGGGUAAUGGCCUACCAAGUCGACGAUCUAUAGCUGGUCUGAGAGGAUGAUCAGCCACACUGGGACUGAGACACGGCCCAGACUCCUACGGGAGGCAGCAGUGGGGAAUAUUGGACAAUGGGCGAAAGCCUGAUCCAGCAAUGCCGCGUGAGUGAUGAAGGCCUUAGGGUUGUAAAGCUCUUUUACCAGGGAUGAUAAUGACAGUACCUGGAGAAUAAGCUCCGGCUAACUCCGUG
rnacentral:rRNA from 1 species